rnacentral:rRNA from 1 species
UACAGAGGGGGCAAGCGUUGUUCGGAAUUACUGGGCGUAAAGGGCGCGUAGGCGGCCCGCUAAGUCGAACGUGAAAUCCCCGAGCUCAACUCGGGAACUGCGUCCGAUACUGGCGGGCUUGAAUCCGGGAGAGGGAUGCGGAAUUCCAGGUGUAGCGGUGAAAUGCGUAGAUAUCUGGAGGAACACCGGUGGCGAAGGCGGCAUCCUGGACCGGCAUUGACGCUGAGGCGCGAAAGCUAGGGGAGCGAAUGGG